CUUUCCCAGGCACAUCUCUCUAACGCUUCCUGCCACCUUCCGAGGCAGGAACAGCACCCGGACAGACUACGAGUACCAGCAUUCCAAUUUGUAUGCCAUAUCAGCAAUGGAUGGUGUGCCUUUUAUGAUUUCUGAGAAGUUUUCUUGUGUUCCAGAAAGUAUGCAACCCUUUGAUCUCUUGGGAAUCACCAUCAAAUCUCUAGCAGAAAUUGAAAAAGAGUAUGAGUACAGCUUCCGCACGGAGCAGAGUGCCGCCGCCAGGCUCCCGCCCAGCCCCACCAGGUGCCAGCAGAUCCCGCAGUCCUGAGCCAGCGGCCACCUGCGGGGAGAAUAUGACCGCCAGACUACUGACCAGGCGGCUGGGGCUGCGGGCCAUUCCCCUCCCUCGCCCGCCCCCCUCACCUCCGCCACCCUUCCUCCCACACUGCCCACCAGGGCAGCCCGGGGACUCUGAGCAGCUGAGUGGAUGUGUCCUGUCAUCAGCUUGCCUGACACGGCACCCCAGCCUCCCUUGGGGACAUCAUUCAUAACCACAACUAAUCUGUGUGUGCUGUAGUGACCAGCAACUCCUAAUGUGUCUGUGUGAUGACCAGUCAUCCUACAAAAUCCCCACCCACCACAGAGUCACCCUGGGGCCCCAGGUAAUUGCUCCAGUUGCUCAGUGACACCCACCCUUCUCUCCUGUCACCUGCCAUGGCAGAUGCCACUAAGCCACUGUUUUCCCUCCUGGAAGACCCUGGUGGUUGGCGGCUUUGCAUAGGACCCUCAGGGCUAGCUUAUUAUUCCAGGCCCAGGGCUGCCUGUAACAAGUCUCCCUCCCCACGGUAUUUCACAGCACCCUGAGAACAUGCGGGAGGAGGAAGCCAGCAACCCUGGCAAGGCCCCUGCCCCUCUUUGGACAUCUCUUCACACGGAACGCCUGAAGACCAGGAGCAGCAUGCCCCAUAGCCCGUGGACGGG